AUCAUUUCGAUAUACUGGUGAACAGGCAGUGUGCCUGUUGGAUGUACCUGACGUGUCUGCCUGUACUAACAACCCUGGCGGGACACCCCACCACUCUCUAUUGAAAAAAACCUGUUUUGGAGAGCCAUCCUGCGCUUUCCUCCAGUCACCUUAAAGUUAUGUCCCCUUAUUUUGGGCAGUUCCACCCUGGAGGAAAGUUUCAGGCUACCCACUUGAUCUGUGCCUUCCAAGCUGUGCAGAGGCCAGAUGGUCCAGGGCCAAGUCGUGGGGUCUAUUUAAAGCAGGAUCUUGCUCAGCCAGGGUGUGAAAGUUAAUGGGGUGAAGGCAGGAGAAUGGGGUUGAGGGGGACAAUAAAUCAGCCUUGUUGGAAUGGCAGAGCAGACUCGAUGGGCCGAGUGGCCUAUAUCUUAUGGAAAUGGGCUCCAUACAGGGAGUUGGGAUCAGGUAGAGUGGCAUCGAGGUGGGCACAGACAUGCAGGCUCCUGUUUGAUUUGCCACAAGCCAGGGAAGGUAGUGCAGAUGAAUGAGUGGCUGAGGAGAUGAUGUAAGGGGCAGGGUUUCAUAUUUGUAGAUCUGGGGAAGAGGUGAACUGUACAGGUGGGACGGGUUGCCCCUGAACUAGAGGUGAUCCCGGGAGGGAGGUUUGCUAAUGCUACUGGGGAGAGUUUAAAAUAGAUUCUCAGGGAGGAGAGACAGAGGACGGGGCGGUUGGUGCACAGGUGGUGACAGCUUGUAGGGAGCUUGUGAGGGAGGAUCGGCGGAUGAUAGAGCAACGAUGCACUCAGACAGAUGGGUUGGGAUGCAAGGGGUAUCAUAAACAAGGCAGGUGAAUUUAGAGCGUGCAUCAAUACAUGCAACUGUGAUGUUGUGUCCAUUCCAGAGACCUGGAUGUCUCAGGGACAGGAAUGGCUGCUGAGUGUAACAGACAUUUCAAAAAGGACAGGGAGGGAGGCAAAAGAGGUAGGGGUGUGGCAUUGCUAAUCAGGGAUAGUAUCACGGCUGCAGAAAAGCCAGAAGACAUGGAGGGAUUGUCUACUGAGUCAGUGUGGGUGGAAAUCAGAAACAGGAAAGGGGCAAUAACUCUACUGGGUGUUUUUCAUAGACCCCCCCCCCCCCGAAUAGUAACAGAGACAUUGAGGAUCAGAUAGGGAGGCAGAUUCUGGAACUGAUUCUGGAACAGUGCAAUAAUAAUAGGGUUGUUGUGAUGGAUGAUUUUAACUUUUUUAAUAUUGACUAGCAUCUCCUUAGAGCAAGGAUUUUAGAUGGGGUGGAAUUUGUUACAUGUGUUCAAGAAGGUUUUCUAAUGCAGUAUGUAGAUAAGCCUACAAGAGGAGAGGCUGUACUUGAUCUGGUAUUGGGAAAUGAACCUGGUCAGGUGUCAGGUCUCUCAGUGGGGGAGCAUUUUGGAGGUAGUGACCACAACUCUAUCCCCUUCACCAUUGCACUGGAGAGGGAUAGGGGCAGACAAUUUGGGAAAAACAUUUAUUUGGGGUGGGGAAAAUAUGAUGCUAUCAGACAGAAACUUGGGAGAUAAAUUGGGAGCAGAUUUUCUCAGGGAAAUGCACGGAAGAUGUGGCAAACGUUCAGGGAACAUUUGCAUGGCGUUCUGCACGAGUAUGUUCCACUGAGGCAGGGAGAGGAUGGAAUGAUAAAAGAACCAUCGUGUAUAAAGGAUGUAGAAAGUCUAGUUAAGAAGAAAAGCUUACAAAAGGUUCAAGAAACCAGUAGUUGUUAGAGUUCUAGAAAAUUACAAGAUUGCAGGGAAGGAGCUUAAGAGUGGAAUUGGGAGAGCCAGAAGGGGCCAUGAGAGGCCUUGGUGAGCAGGAUGAAGGAAAACCCCAAGGCAUUCUACAAGCAUGUGAAGAGCGAAAGGAUGAGUCGUGUGAGAAUAGGACCAGUCAGGUACGAUAUUGGAAACAUGUGCACGGAGUGUCAGGAGGUAGCAGAGGUACUUAAUGAAUACUUUGCUUCAUUAUUUACCAGGGAAAAGGACCUUGGCAAUUGCGAGGAUGACUUACAACGGACUGAAAUGCUUGAGUGUCUAGACAUUAAGAAAGAGGAUGUGCUGGAGCUUUUGAAAAGCAUCAAGUUGGAUAAGUCACCGGGAUCGGAUGAAACAUAUCCCAGGCUACUGUGGGAAGUGAGGGAGGAGAUUGCUGAGCCUCUGGCGAUGAUCUUUGCAUCAUCAAUAGGAAAAGGAGAGGUAGUGGAGGAUUGGAGGGUUGCAAAUGUUAUUUAAGAAAGAGAGUAGAGAUAACCCAGGAAAUUACAGACUAGUGAGUCUGACCUCAGUGGUGGGCAAGUUGUUGGAGAAGAUCCUGAGAGGCAGGAUUUAUGAGCAUUUGGAGAGGCAUAAUCUGAUCAGGGAUAGUCAGCAUGGCUUUGUCAAGGACGUGUCGUGCCUUAUGUACCUGAUUGAAUUCUUUGAGGAUGUAACAAAACACAUUGAUGAAGGUAGAGCAGUGGAUGCAGUGUAUAUGGAUUUCAGUAAGGCAUUUGAUAAGGUACCCCACACAAGGCUGAUUCAGAAAGUAAGGAGGCAUAGGAUCCAAGGAGACAUUGCAUUGUGGAUCCAGAAUUGGCUUGUUCACAGAAGGCAAAGAGUGGUUGUAGACGGGUCAUAUUCUGCAUUGAGGUCGGUGACCAGUGUUGUGCCUCAGGGAUCUGUUCUGGGACCCUCACUCCUUGUGAUUUUUAUAAAUGACCUGGAUGAGGAAGUGGAGGGAUGGGUUAGUAAAUUUGCUGAUGACACUGUCGGGGGGGCCAGAUGGACCCAAACGCAGGACGCAGACACUGAAGUACUAGGGGGAGGACAGGAUGGGGAUGCCAUGGCAUUUAAGGGUAGAGCUGGGGUUCAGGUAGAUAGAGUGUCAGGCAGGCAGAGCGGACCGGGCUCCUGGAGUUCGAGUUCAAGCAGGCAGGUCCUCGAGGUUCAGGCAGGCAGAUAGACAGGUCCUCGAGGUUCAGGCAGGUAGACAGGUCCUCGAGGUUCAGGCAGGUAGACAGGUCCUCGAGGUUCAGGCAGACAGACAGGUCCUCAAGGUUCAGGCAGGUAGACAGGUCCUCGAGGUUCAGGCAGGUAGACAGGUCCUCGAGGUUCAGGCAGGUAGAUAGACAGGUCCUCGAGGUUCAGGCAGGCAGAUAGACAGGUCCUUGAGGUUCAGGCAGGCAGGUAGACAGGUCCUCGAGGUUCAGGCAGGUAGAUAGACAGGUCCUCGAGGUUCAGGCAGGCAGGUCCUCGAGGUUCAGGCAGGUAGACAGGUCCUCGAGGUUCAGGCAGGCAGAUAGACAGGUCCUCGAGGUUCAGGCAGGUAGACAGGUCCUCGAGGUUCAGGCAGGUAGACAGGUCCUUGAGGUUCAGGCAGGCAGAUAGAUCCUCGAGGUUCAGACAGGCAGGUAGACAGGUCCUCGAGGUUCAGGCAGGUAGACAGGUCCUCGAGGUUCAGGCAGGCAGAUAGACAGGUCCUCGAGGUUCAGGCAGGUAUACAGGUCCUCGAGGUUCAGGCAGGUAGACAGGUCCUCGAGGUUCAGGCAGAUAGACAGGUCCUCGAGGUUCAGGCAGGUAGACAGGUCCUCAAGGUUCAGGCAGGUAGACAGGUCCUCGAGGUUCAGGCAGAUAGAUAGACAGGUCCUCGAGGUUCAGGCAGGUAGAUAGACAGGUCCUCGAGGUUCAGGCAGGCAGGCAGGUCCUCGAGGUUCAGGCAGGUAGACAGGUCCUCGAGGUUCAGGCAGGCAGAUAGACAGGUCCUCGAGGUUCAGGCAGGUAGACAGAUCCUCGAGGUUCAGGCAGGUAGAUAGACAGGUCCUCGAGGUUCAGGCAGGUAGACAGGUCCUCGAGGUUCAGGCAGGCAGGUAGACAGGUCCUCGAGGUUCAGGCAGGUAGACAGGUCCUCGAGGUUCAGGCAGGCAGAUAGACAGGUCCUCGAGGUUCAGGCAGGUAUACAGGUCCUCGAGGUUCAGGCAGGUAGACAGGUCCUCGAGGUUCAGG